rnacentral:rRNA from 1 species
AGUUCCGUCAGGUGAACCUGCGGAAGGAUCAUUA